UGCCUAACCCCUUCGUUUAACCAAAGGGUAUGGUACAAAAACCGUUCAAAGUAUCAAGCUCUCCAUCCAGAGCACUUUGAACGGUCAUAUCUCGAAAGAGGUAUGGGUAGCUGAAAAGUUAUC
rnacentral:sRNA from 1 species